GAUGAACGCUAGCGGCAGGCUUAACACAUGCAAGUCGAGGGGCAGCAUAUUGAAGUUUUCGGGCGGAGAUGAUGGCGACCGGCGGACGGGUGCGUAACGCGUAUACAACCUACCCUAUAUUGGUGAAUAACCCGGAGAAAUUCGGACUAAUGCGCCGUAUGCUUUCGGAGGGCAUCCUCUGUUAGUGAUAGAUUUAUUGUUAUAGGAUGGGUAUGCGUGACAUUAGCUAGUAGGUGAGGUAACGGCUCACCUAGGCGACGAUGUCUAGGGGUUCUGAGAGGAAGGUCCCCCACACUGGUACUGAGACACGGACCAGACUCCUACGGGAGGCAGCAGUGAGGAAUAUUGGUCAAUGGACGGAAGUCUGAACCAGCCAUGCCGCGUGCAGGAUGACGGCUCUAUGAGUUGUAAACUGCUUUUGUAUAGGGGUAAAAUAUAGUAUGUAUACUAUACUGCAAGUACUAUACGAAUAAGGAUCGGCUAACUCCGUGCCAGCAGCCGCGGUAAUACGGAGGAUCCGAGCGUUAUCCGGAUUCAUUGGGUUUAAAGGGUGCGUAGGCGGAUUGGUAAGUUAGUCGUUAAAUCGUGAUGCUUAACAUCACAGUGGCGAUUGAUACUGUCAGUCUGGAGAUUAUGUGCAGUGGGCGGAAUGA
rnacentral:rRNA from 1 species